UACGUAGGGCGCAAGCGUUAUCCGGAAUUAUUGGGCGUAAAGAGCUCGUAGGCGGUUUGUCGCGUCUGCCGUGAAAAGUCCGGGGGCUCAACUCCGGAUCUGCGGUGGGUACGGGGCAGACUAGAGUGAUGUAGGGGGAGACUGGAAUUCCUGGGUGUAGCGGUGAAAAUGCGCAGAUAUCAGGAGGAACACCGAUGGCGAAAGGGCAGGGUCUCUGGGGCAUUUAAACUGACGUGAGGGAGCGAAAA
rnacentral:rRNA from 1 species